rnacentral:rRNA from 1 species
CCUGCGCGCCCUACACAUGCGAGUCGAGCGGAACGGCAGUAUUGAAGCUUCGGUGGAUUUACUGGACGUCGAGCGGCGGACGGGUGAGUAACGGCUGGGAACCUGCCCUGACGAGGGGGAUAACCGUUGGAAACGACGGCUAAUACCGCAUAAUGUCUACGGACCAAAGGUGGCCUCUACAUGUAAGCUAUCGCGUUGGGAUGGGCCCAGUUAGGAUUAGCUAGUUGGUAAGGUAAUGGCUUACCAAGGCGACGAUCCUUAGCUGGUUUGAGAGGAUGAUCAGCCACACUGGGACUGAGACACGGCCCAGACUCCUACGGGAGGCAGCAGUGGGGAAUAUUGCACAAUGGGGGAGACCCUGAUGCAGCCAUGCCGCGUGUGUGAAGAAGGCCUUCGGGUUGUAAAGCACUUUCAGCAGUGAGGAAGGUGGUGUACUUAAUACGUGCAUGGCUUGACGUUAGCUGCAGAAGAAGCACCGGCUAACUCCGUGCCAGCAGCCGCGGUAAUACGGAGGGUGCGAGCGUUAAUCGGAAUUACUGGGCGUAAAGCGCAUGCAGGCGGUUUGUUAAGUCAGAUGUGAAAGCCCGGGGCUCAACCUCGGAACCGCAUUUGAAACUGGCAGGCUAGAGUCUUGUAGAGGGGGGUAGAAUUUCAGGUGUAGCGGUGAAAUGCGUAGAGAUCUGAAGGAAUACCAGUGGCGAAGGCGGCCCCCUGGACAAAGACUGACGCUCAGAUGCGAAAGCGUGGGUAGCAAACAGGAUUAGAUACCCUGGUAGUCCACGCCGUAAACGCUGUCUACUUGGAGGUUGAGGUUUAAGACUUUGGCUUUCGGCGGCUACGGCAUUAAGUAGACCGCCUGGGGAGUACGGCCGCCAAGGUUAAAACUCAAAUGAAUUGACCGGGGACCGCACAAGCCGGUGGAGCAUGUGGUUAGUCGAUGCACGCCGAAAACCUUACCUACUCUGACAUCAGAGAACUUUCAGAGAUGAUGUGCUCGAGCUCUGAAAAGGUGCUGCAUGCUGCGUCAGCUCGGUGGGAUGUCGUUAGUUCCGCACGAGCCAUCUACUGCUGCAGCCUUAAGUGA